GGAGAGGUGUCCGAGUGGUUUAAGGAGCACGCUUGGAAAGCGUGUGUAGGUGAAAGCUUACCCCGGGUUCGAAUCCCGGUCUCUCCGCCA
rnacentral:tRNA from 1 species